AGAGUUUGAUCAUGGCUCAGAUUGAACGCUGGCGGCAGGCCUAACACAUGCAAGUCGAACGGUAACAGGAAGAAGCUUGCUUCUUUGCUGACGAGUGGCGGACGGGUGAGUAAUGUCUGGGAAACUGCCUGAUGGAGGGGGAUAACUACUGGAAACGGUAGCUAAUACCGCAUAACGUCGCAAGACCAAAGAGGGGGACCUUCGGGCCUCUUGCCAUCGGAUGUGCCCAGAUGGGAUUAGCUAGUAGGUGGGGUAACGGCUCACCUAGGCGACGAUCCCUAGCUGGUCUGAGAGGAUGACCAGCCACACUGGAACUGAGACACGGUCCAGACUCCUACGGGAGGCAGCAGUGGGGAAUAUUGCACAAUGGGCGCAAGCCUGAUGCAGCCAUGCCGCGUGUAUGAAGAAGGCCUUCGGGUUGUAAAGUACUUUCAGCGGGGAGGAAGGGAGUAAAGUUAAUACCUUUGCUCAUUGACGUUACCCGCAGAAGAAGCACCGGCUAACUCCGUGCCAGCAGCCGCGGUAAUACGGAGGGUGCAAGCGUUAAUCGGAAUUACUGGGCGUAAAGCGCACGCAGGCGGUUUGUUAAGUCAGAUGUGAAAUCCCCGGGCUCAACCUGGGAACUGCAUCUGAUACUGGCAAGCUUGAGUCUCGUAGAGGGGGGUAGAAUUCCAGGUGUAGCGGUGAAAUGCGUAGAGAUCUGGAGGAAUACCGGUGGCGAAGGCGGCCCCCUGGACGAAGACUGACGCUCAGGUGCGAAAGCGUGGGGAGUAAACAGGAUUAGAUACCCUGGUAGUCCACGCCGUAAACGAUGUCGACUUGGAGGUUGUGCCCUUGAGGCGUGGCUUCCGGAGCUAACGCGUUAAGUCGACCGCCUGGGGAGUACGGCCGCAAGGUUAAAACUCAAAUGAAUUGACGGGGGCCCGCACAAGCGGUGGAGCAUGUGGUUUAAUUCGAUGCAACGCGAAGAACCUUACCUGGUCUUGACAUCCACGGAAGUUUUCAGAGAUGAGAGUGUGCCUUCGGGAACCGUGAGACAGGUGCUGCAUGGCUGUCGUCAGCUCGUGUUGUGAAAUGUUGGGUUAAGUCCCGCAACGAGCGCAACCCUUAUCCUUUGUUGCCAGCGGUCCGGCCGGGAACUCAAAGGAGACUGCCAGUGAUAAACUGGAGGAAGGUGGGGAUGACGUCAAGUCAUCAUGGCCCUUACGACCAGGGCUACACACGUGCUACAAUGGCGCAUACAAAGAGAAGCGACCUCGCGAGAGCAAGCGGACCUCAUAAAGUGCGUCGUAGUCCGGAUUGGAGUCUGCAACUCGACUCCAUGAAGUCGGAAUCGCUAGUAAUCGUGGAUCAGAAUGCCACGGUGAAUACGUUCCCGGGCCUUGUACACACCGCCCGUCACACCAUGGGAGUGGGUUGCAAAAGAAGUAGGUAGCUUAACCUUCGGGAGGGCGCUUACCACUUUGUGAUUCAUGACUGGGGUGAAGUCGUAACAAGGUA
rnacentral:rRNA from 1 species